UACACGCUAAUAAAAGCAAGAGAUAUACGUAUAUAUAAGUUAACAACAGCUAAACGCUUCCCUUGGCCCCUCACACUAUACAACUGGUGUUACGGCUAAACUGUCAUCGAUCUGCAAGUGGGGCGUUUCCUGCCUCACCGCCGCUGCUGCCCCCGUAUCAUCGUCAGCACAGUUCUGGUAUUCCGCUGUGUCAGCCGAAUAUCGACAACAUUGUAUGGAGGUGCUGGGCCGGCACUCUCAGCAUUGCAACACUCGAGCGCGACAGCGAGAGUCACGUUGCGCUUGGUCAGCACUUAUGCUGGCUGGCUGAGGGCUCAACGGCUCGUAGCUGACGAGCCAAGCGACACUCUUGGGAGAGAAUCAGACUCGAGUAGACUUCAACUUAAUGGCAUUCAAACUUACCAAACUUAUUGUCACAAUAAAGAAUUAAAUUAAAAUUAAAAGAAUAAAAGCAUAUCGAUAAAAAUAUAAAAAACUAAUUUAAACAUCAUAAAUAGGUUUAGAUAUUUUUGCGAAGUAAUAAAUUUUGUAUACGGUACGCAAAUAAAUAAUAUUGGCAUGCUUACCAACGAACCCAAGUUUUUUUUAAAUAUAAGUCGCGGACGUAUGAAGACGUGUUUUUAUUGAGCUCCGUAUAAAAUCGGUUGAUUUGAUAAUAUACAAAUAAUUAACCCGAAAGCGAAAGAGACGCUCAGUGCGAUGCAUAAUAUACAUAUUUGCUUGUAUACAUAUUUUGUGUCCGAAGUAGUAGUAGAGUACAGUAGUAGUUUUACAUAUUCAAACAAAAAAAGAAAUAAAAAGAAAAACAAAAAUUAGAACAAAACUUGUGCCCAGCGAAAACGCAGCGAAUAGUCAAUCACUCCUAACCCAACAAAUUUACCUUUGCCAACAACUCAAGAAAGAGCGCGUUCUUGCUAUGCCUUACUACUCGUUACAAAUAAACACACGAAUCGCAUAACCGUCGUAAUAAAAAUAAAGAUCCUAAGAAAUAAUAUUUCGGUCGAGUCACUUGCAGAACUAUCAUUUGAUCACUCUCCAGUUCUACUUACUCUUAGGUAUCGAGCGGCCUUACAGGCUGACAGGUAACUGUGCAAGGUACGCGAAAUAAGUUAGUACUCAUCCAUGGAUCCAUGGAUGUUGAUUGCCUGACCAAAUCGAUCGAGGAAACACUUGGAAGGAUCUAUACAUUUAUACAUCGAACAACUAUCGCCCACCAUUAAAGAGAACGCUUUGUGAAAAGUAUACAAAAAUAUUCAGACACCGACAGAAACAGUCGUUCCAAAGUGAUAUUCCUCUGGGAGCUGGAUACGCAACGAACAUCUGAACAUCACUUGGCAGACGCAACAUUUAUCUUUCAGACCAAUCAGUCUGGACGUAAUAAUGUACAAGAUAAGAAAGUUGCUUCCUGGAACACACACAAAGUGCUGGAAUCUCAUCGGUGUAACAGUUUGACACGAACGGGUUAUCUAUGCUGUAGUCCCCCAUGUAUUGUUUUGGGCCCACAACUUCUACGUUUGCUGACGAUCUAUACUCCCAGCACAACUUGUCUGUCAUCUUAAAACAGUGAAAAUAUGGUUUUCGGACUAGUGCAUCAAAAUAAACGAGGCCAAACGCAGGCACUAAACAGACAAACGUGCCCACCCUGUACCCUGAACAAUACAUUCAUUCCAUAAGCUGACCUAGUAACAUUGCUCAGUCAACGAUUAUGCGAGCUAUCACUGAGGCACCAUAGGACCUACGCAGCGAAAGCAUCCAUAGAGACCUCCACAGAAAUCUUGUCAACGAGGAAAUUCAGAUAUUAAAAAUGUGCAAAUAUCUCCAGCUCAACAACGAAAUUUUAGGGCUGUUUCUGACUAAUACAAUUAUUUCUUAUUGUUAUUUAUCGAAUUUAUAUAAUAAGAUUUGAAUAAGUAUUGUUGGUCUCACGAUAAAAAACGAUCUAAAAAACAA